rnacentral:sRNA from 1 species
GUAUUGUGUGCCUUGUGUCAGAUGUUGUCAGGAUUCCUGUGCCAGGAGGCAGUCCAGGAGCUCUACCUACAGCUGCUGCUGUGUCAUCUCUGCUGGGCGGUUUAGCAAAAUGCUCCCCAGAAGAUAGUAGAACACAGCAAGGAGGGGCCCCUGGGAAGCAAAAGCAACUCUGACCCCAUUUGUGCCCUGGAAGUAGUGAAGAUGGUGCUACUGGCAGCUUUGUAUGAUAAAGUGAUGUUCUGUGCAACUCAACAUCACUGCUGGGAACUUCCAUCC